UACGUAGGGGGCUAGCGUUGUCCGGAUUUACUGGGCGUAAAGAGCGCGCAGGCGGUCGAUCAAGUCGAGUGUGAAAGCCCCCGGCUCAACUGGGGAGGGUCAUUCGAUACUGAUCGACUCGAAGGCAGGAGAGGGUAGUGGAAUUCCCGGUGUAGUGGUGAAAUGCGUAGAUAUCGGGAGGAACACCAGUGGCGAAGGCGACUACCUGGCCUGUACUUGACGCUGAGGCGCGAAAGCUAGGGGAGCAAACGGG
rnacentral:rRNA from 1 species